AGUAACUGCCCAAUGCCUGUAGGUCCUAGUGGGGAGGAGGCAGGAGACCAGAGCAGCCAAGCUGUCUCAGAAAGAAAGACCUCUCAGCUAAGCAUCCGGGGCUCAGGCCUAGCUGCCUCCCCUUCCAAACACUCCUGGGCUCUUCCUACUGGCCCACACAUUGCUCCAAUGGGGCCCCUUUUCCAGGGAUGGAGCAGAUGCCCUGGAGGCUGGAAGACCUGAAUUCAAAUUUGACCUGAGACACUAGCUGUGUGACCCUGAGUGGUAGUUUGGAUGUGGUCCACUUGCCGGGCGGGAAGGCAGCAUGGAAGGGAGAUUCCAGAGUACAAGUAUCCCUUCUACAUUGUGACUUUCCCCAUUGCAGUUUCAAUAGAUUGUGAGUUGGAGUAAGAAAUUAAAUGGGAAUUUGGGGGGAGUUUUGCAGAAGCCACAGAUGAUACAUAAAAGCCAGCAGACCACACAGAAAAAGUUUAGAAACUCAGCAAUGGAUAAAAUAUAUGUAUAGUAUU
rnacentral:lncRNA from 1 species